rnacentral:rRNA from 1 species
GUUAGGAAUAUUGGACAAUGGGCGAAAGCCUGAUCCAGCCAUGCCGCGUGUGUGAAGAAGGUCUUCGGAUUGUAAAGCACUUUAAGUUGGGAGGAAGGGUAGUAACCUAAUACGUUGCUACUUUGACGUUACCGACAGAAUAAGCACCGGCUAACUUCGUGCCAGCAGCCGCGGUAAUACGAAGGGUGCAAGCGUUAAUCGGAAUUACUGGGCGUAAAGCGCGCGUAGGUGGUUCAGUAAGUUGGAAGUGAAAUCCCCGGGCUCAACCUGGGAACUGCUUUCAAAACUGCUGAGCUAGAGUACGGUAGAGGGUGGUGGAAUUUCCUGUGUAGCGGUGAAAUGCGUAGAUAUAGGAAGGAACACCAGUGGCGAAGGCGACCACCUGGACUGAUACUGACACUGAGGUGCGAAAGCGUGGGGAGCAAACAGGAUUAGAAACCCCUGUAGUCC